rnacentral:rRNA from 1 species
GAUGAACGCUGGCGGCGUGCCUAAUACAUGCAAGUCGAGCGAACAGACGAGGAGCUUGCUCCUUUGACGUUAGCGGCGGACGGGUGAGUAACACGUGGGUAACCUACCUAUAAGACUGGGAUAACUUCGGGAAACCGGAGCUAAUACCGGAUAAUAUUUCGAACCGCAUGGUUCGAUAGUGAAAGAUGGCUCUGCUAUCACUUAUAGAUGGACCUGCGCCGUAUUAGCUAGUUGGUAAGGUAACGGCUUACCAAGGCAACGAUACGUAGCCGACCUGAGAGGGUGAUCGGCCACACUGGAACUGAGACACGGUCCAGACUCCUACGGGAGGCAGCAGUAGGGAAUCUUCCGCAAUGGGCGAAAGCCUGACGGAGCAACGCCGCGUGAGCGAUGAAGGUCUUCGGAUCGUAAAACUCUGUUAUUAGGGAAGAACAAACGUGUAAGUAACUGUGCACGUCUUGACGGUACCUAAUCAGAAAGCCACGGCUAACUACGUG